CCUACGGGAGGCAGCAGUGAGGAAUAUUGGUCAAUGGGCGCGAGCCUGAACCAGCCAAGUAGCGUGAAGGAUGACUGCCCUACGGGUUGUAAACUUCUUUUAUAAAGGAAUAAAGUGAGGCACGUGUGCCUUUUUGUAUGUACUUUAUGAAUAAGGAUCGGCUAACUCCGUCCCAGCAGCCGCGGUAAUACGGAGGAUCCGAGCGUUAUCCGGAUUUAUUGGGUUUAAAGGGAGCGUAGAUGGGUGUUUAGAGCAGUUGUGAAAGUUUGCGGCUCAACCGUAAAAUUGCAAUUGAUACUGGCAGCCUUGAGUACAGUUGAGGUAGGCGGAAUUCGUGGUGUAGCGGUGAAAUGCUUAGAUAUCACGAAGAACUCCGAUUGCGAAGGCAGCUUACUAAACUGCCACUGACAUUGAUGCUCGAAAGUGUGGGUAUCAAACAGGAUUAGAUACCCCAGUAGUC
rnacentral:rRNA from 1 species